GCCCGGCUCAGGGUCCGGGUCGGGGUCCGGGCCCGGCUCAGGGUCCGGCUCAGGGUCCGGGUUCGGGGCCUGGCUCGGGCG
rnacentral:tRNA from 1 species